ACGUGGAGGCUGGACAGCUGCAGCCAGCGGCACCUGGCGCUGUGGGGAAGAGGCUGCCCUGAAAUGCUCAGAAACAUGUCAGCAGGCUGAUUGGAGGCUGACACCUGCGGUCUUAGGACCAGGAGACCCAGCACUGCAGGGCACCCACGUGCUAGUAUGUACCUUGGAUCAAGCCAUACCUGAAUGCCA